CGGGGUGCAGCAGGCGCGAAAACUUUGCAAUAAGCGAAAGCUUGACAGGGCUAUCCCGAGUGCCAUCCGCUGAGGAAGGCUUUUACCCAGUCUAGAACGCUGGGGGAAUAAGGAGAGGGCAAGUCUGGUGUCAGCCGCCGCGGUAAUACCAGCUCUCCGAGUGGUGUGGAUGUUUAUUGGGCCUAAAGCAUCCGUAGCUGGCUAAGUUAGUCCCUUGUUAAAUCCACCGAAUUAAUCGUUGGAUUGCGGGGGAUACUGCUUGGCUAGGGGACGAGAGAGGCAGACGGUAUUUUCGGGGUAGGGGUGAAAUCCUAUAAUCCCGGGAAGACCACCAGUGGCGAAGGCUGUCUGCUAGAACGCGCCCGACGGUGAGGGAUGAAAGCUGGGGGAGCGAACCGGAUUAGAUACCCGGGUAGUCCCAGCUGUAAACGAUGCAGGCUAGGUGUUUGGACGGCCACGUGCCGUUCUAGUGCCGCAGGGAAGCAGUUAAGCCUGCCGCCUGGGGAGUACGAUCGCAAGAUUGAAACUUAAAGGAAUUGGCGGGGGAGCAC
rnacentral:rRNA from 1 species